UACGGAGGGUGCAAGCGUUAUCCGGAUUCACUGGGUUUAAAGGGUGCGUAGGCGGGCAGGUAAGUCAGUGGUGAAAUCCCCGAGCUUAACUUGGGACUGCCGUUGAUACUAUCUGUCUUGAAUACUAUGGAGGUAAGCGGAAUAUGUCAUGUAGCGGUGAAAUGCUUAGAUAUGACAUAGAACACCAAUUGCGAAGGCAGCUUGCUACACAGUUAUUGACGCUGAGGCACGAAAGCGUGGGGAUCAAACAGG
rnacentral:rRNA from 1 species